AAGUGGUGAGAGAUGAGAAUGGUAGGAGAUGCUGGAGCUGCCAGGAGCUGUGUCGUGAGAGAUGCCAGAGUUCUGCUGCUUAUCAGAGCCACUUGACCUAUUUCAAGUUAAUUCCACGUUACCACCUAUUUGUCACAUAAAAAACAGAAGCAAGUAAAAAUAAUCAAAGAAAGAAGCCACGGAAGACAAAAGAUGCUUUAAGAAAAGAAGUUCUCCAGCAGUUGACUUCCUAACUCAAAGCAGGAUUGUACAAAUGAGAUAGGAGAUAAAUUAUCUACAAUAGCUGCUUUAAUUUUCCAUUUAAACCUAUUUAAAGAUUGAGGAUUUACAAUGAUUAGUUUUAUAUAUUAAAAAAAACAACUCACGG